UACGAAGGGGGCUAGCGUUGCUCGGAAUUACUGGGCGUAAAGCGCACGUAGGCGGCUUCUUAAGUCGGUGGUGAAAUCCUGGAGCUCAACUCCAGAACUGCCUUCGAUACUGGGAAGCUUGGGUUCGGGAGAGGUGAGUGGAACUGCGAGUGUAGAGGUGAAAUUCGUAGAUAUUCGCAAGAACACCAGUGGCGAAGGCGGCUCACUGGCCCGAUACUGACGCUGAGGUGCGAAAGCGUGGGGAGCAAACAGG
rnacentral:rRNA from 1 species